rnacentral:rRNA from 1 species
CUUGACGAUCAUAGAGCGUUGGAACCACCUGAUCCCUUUCCGAACUCAGUAGUGAAACGACGCAUCGCCGAUGGUAGUGUGGGGUCUCCCCAUGUGAGAGUAGGUCAUCGUCAAGC